rnacentral:lncRNA from 1 species
UUAUGAUUAAUCUUUAUGGAAGUGUUUUUUACCACUCGAUAAGCGCUAAUAAAUAUUUGAUUUUUGUAAGAAGAGAAAAAGCUUUAUAAAUAAUGAAGUGAUAAAACCUUUUCUUACAUGAAAGAGAAAAAUUAUGGCUCAAAUUAUGAAGUUUGUUUAUUUUAUAAUUAUCUUAUUUUUCCUAUUUCCUAGUUCAACAAAUGUUGAAGGUAAGUUAUUUUUAUCUUUUUAAAAUUUUCUCUUCACCUUAUAUACAAUAUUCCAUCCAAUUUUCUUUUUUUUUUUCUUUUCUAUUUACAGCAUGGAUGCGUAGAUGUUUUAAAGAUUCUGAUUGUCCCAAAGAUUGGUGUCGAAAACCUAAGAUCAUGAGGUGUGUAAGUCACUCCUUGUGUAAAUGUAUGGUUCAAGGAUAUCUUAAACCCAUAUGAUUCUAUAUUUUGAGCCAUACUCAAGAGAAUAUACAAUAAACACUCCAUACUUCUAUGCUCUAGUUCGAGCUUGGUGCCUGCAUCUCAGGUGGUGUUGAUGGUUGAUUUUUUUUUCUUUGUGGAUUUUGUGCAUCUCGUGUACCUGUUUUCAAUUUCAAUUAUAAGCAGAUUUUGUUUAUACUUAAAUUUUUCAUUAUAUAUAUAUAUAUAUAU